rnacentral:rRNA from 1 species
AUACGGAGGAUGCGAGCGUUAUCCGGAUUUAUUGGGUUUAAAGGGAGCGUAGGUGGGAUAUUAAGUCAGCUGUGAAAGUUUGGGGCUCAACCUUAAAAUUGCAGUUGAUACUGGUUUCCUUGAGUACGGUACAGGUGGGCGGAAUUCGUGGUGUAGCGGUGAAAUGCUUAGAUAUCACGAAGAACUCCGAUCGCGAAGGCAGCUCACCGGGCCUGAACUGACACUGAUGCUCGAAAGUGCGGGUAUCAAACAGGAUUAGAUACCCUGGUAGUCCGCACAGUAAACGAUGAAUACUCGCUGUUUGCGAUACACGGUAAGCGGCCAAGCGAAAGCGUUAAGUAUUCCACCUGGGGAGUACGCCGGCAACGGUGAAACUCAAAGGAAUUGGCGGGG